rnacentral:rRNA from 1 species
CCUACGGGUGGCAGCAGUGAGGAAUAUUGGUCAAUGGACGAGAGUCUGAACCAGCCAAGUAGCGUGAAGGAUGACUGCCCUAUGAGUUGUAAACUUCUUUUAUAUGGGAAUAAACUGUUCCACGUGUGGGAUUUUGUAUGUAUCAUAUGAAUAAGGAUCGGCUAACUCCGUGCCAGCAGCCGCGGUAAUACGGAGGAUUCGAGCGUUAUCCGGAUUUAUUGGGUUUAAAGGGAGCGUAGGUGGAUUGUUAAGUUAGUUGUGAAAGUUUGCGGCUCAACUGUAAAAUUGCAGUUGAAACUGGUAGUCUAGAGUACAGUAGAGGUAGGCGGAAUGCGUGGUGUAGCGGUGAAAUGCUUAGAUAUCACGAAGAACACCGAUUGCGAAGGCAGCUCACUGGACUGCAACUGACGCUGAGGCUCGAAAGUGUGGGGAGCAAACAGGAUUAGAUACCCUAGUAGUC